GCCUCCGCCUCCCAAAGUACUGGAAUUACAGGGGUCACAUUUAAACUUGCCUUGUCCACUCCAGGGCAAUCCCUGGCCUUGCCGUCUGCCCUGGGAUCUCUCCAGCGCUCCCCAAAAUGGCCUGUCCUGAGAGGCUGCUUGGCCCACUAACUCCUUUCUCCCUGGGUCAAAAGAGCAAGGUGUGUCUGUAACCACCUCCUCUUUAUGGCGAGGAACCGGCUGCGGAAUCCUUCCCAGCCUGCGGGAGGACGUCACCUCCAAGCCCCUGGAUGACCUGCAGAGGGGUCACCUGCAGUCGCCGGGCCGGCCCAGGACCCUUCCCGGGCCCAUCCUCUGUUCACUACCCACCCUUUCCCACCAGGUCAGGACCCGCUGGGGCCUGGGGACCCUCCCAGGGCAGCUGUCCCGCGGGUGGGCCGCCCCACCCCUCGCCACCCUCACCCGGACAGGCUCCGGGCCGCGGGGCAGGGCGGCGGGAACCGUUUUCUGGCCGGAGCCCGCCGGGAAGGAGCCGCUGCCGCCUCGCCCACCCCUGCGACGCCCUGCCCCGGCUCACCUGCCA